rnacentral:rRNA from 1 species
GCUCCACCAAGUCGAUGAUCUUUAGGGGGCCUGAGAGGGUGAUCCCCCACACUGGUACUGAGACACGGACCAGACUCCUACGGGAGGCAGCAGUGAGGAAUAUUGGACAAUGGGUUAGCGCCUGAUCCAGCCAUCCCGCGUGAAGGACGACGGCCCUAUGGGUUGUAAACUUCUUUUGUACAGGGAUAAACCUUUCCACGUGUGGAAAGCUGAAGGUACUGUACGAAUAAGCACCGGCUAACUCCGUGCCAGCAGCCGCGGUAAUACGGAGGGUGCAAGCGUUAUCCGGAUUUAUUGGGUUUAAAGGGUCCGUAGGCGGAUCUGUAAGUCAGUGGUGAAAUCUCACAGCUUAACUGUGAAACUGCCAUUGAUACUGCAGGUCUUGAGUAAGGUAGAAGUGGCUGGAAUAAGUAGUGUAGCGGUGAAAUGCAUAGAUAUUACUUAGAACACCAAUUGCGAAGGCAGGUCACUAUGUCUUAACUGACGCUGAUGGACGAAAGCGUGGGGAGCGAACAGGAUUAGAUACCCUGGUAGUCCACGCUGUAAACGAUGCUUACUCGUUUUUGGGCUUUCGGGUUCAGAGACUAAGCGAAAGUGAUAAGUAAGCCACCUGGGGAGUACGAACGCAAGUUUGAAACUCAAAGGAAUUGACGGGGGCCCGCACAAGCGGUGGAUUAUGUGGUUUAAUUCGAUGAUACGCGAGGAACCUUACCAAGGCUUAAAUGGGAAUUGAUCGGUUUAGAAAUAGACCUUCCUUCGGGCAAUUUUCAAGGUGCUGCAUGGUUGUCGUCAGCUCGUGCCGUGAGGUGUUAGGUUAAGUCCUGCAACGAGCGCAACCCCUGUCACUAGUUGCCAUCAUUAAGUUGGGGACUCUAGUGAGACUGCCUACGCAAGUAGAGAGGAAGGUGGGGAUGACGUCAAAUCAUCACGGCCCUUACGCCUUGGGCCACACACGUAAUACAAUGGCCGGUACAGAGGGCAGCUACACAGCGAUGUGAUGCAAAUCUCGAAAGCCGGUCUCAGUUCGGAUUGGAGUCUGCAACUCGACUCUAUGAAGCUGGAAUCGCUAGUAAUCGCGCAUCAGCCAUGGCGCGGUGAAUACGUUCCCGGGCCUUGUACACACCGCCCGUCAAGCCAUGGAAGUCUGGGGUACCUGAAGUCGGUGACCGUAAAAGGAGCUGCCUAGGUAAACCGAAA